rnacentral:rRNA from 1 species
UACGAAGGGGGCUAGCGUUGCUCGGAAUCACUGGGCGUAAAGCGCACGUAGGCGGCUUUCUAAGUCAGGGGUGAAAUCCUGGAGCUCAACUCCAGAACUGCCUUUGAUACUGGAGAGCUUGAGUCCGGGAGAGGUGAGUGGAACUCCGAGUGUAGAGGUGAAAUUCGUAGAUAUUCGGAAGAACACCAGUGGCGAAGGCGGCUCACUGGUCCGGUACUGACGCUGAUGUGCGAAAGCGUGGGGAGCAAACAGG